rnacentral:ribozyme from 1 species
GGUAUUCUAGCAAUACUACACUGGUACAGUUAGCAUAGGCUCUCCUUAUCAACUCCUACUCAAUUCGUCCUCGUCGUACAGAGCGGUAGCAUGCCUUCCAAUAUCCGAGCUUGGGUACACGGGGAAUCCGAAUCCUUUAGUAGGAUGGAAGACAUGGAAUUUGAGAGGA